UACGUAGGGGGCUAGCGUUGUCCGGAAUCAUUGGGCGUGAAGCGCGUGUAGGCGGCCCGGUAAGUCCGCUGUGAAAGUCGGGGGCUCAACCCUCGAAAGCCGGUGGAUACUGUCGAGCUCGAGUGCGGAAGAGGCGAGUGGAAUUCCUGGUGUAGCGGUGAAAUGCGCAGAUAUCAGGAGGAACACCGAUUGCGAAGGCAGCUCGCUGGGACGUUACUGACGCUGAGACGCGAAAGCGUGGGGAGCAAACAGG
rnacentral:rRNA from 1 species